rnacentral:rRNA from 1 species
GAGUUUGAUCUUGGCUCAGAUUGAACGCUGGCGGCAUGCCUUACAUAUGCAAGUCGAACGGCAGCACGGGAGCUUGCUCCUGGUGGCGAGUGGCGAACGGGUGAGUAAUGCAUCGGAACGUAUCCUGGAGUGGGGGAUAACGUAGCGAAAGUUACGCUAAUACCGCAUAUUCUGUGAGCAGGAAAGCGGGGGACCUUCGGGCCUCGCGCUCUUGGAGCGGCCGAUGUCGGAUUAGCUAGUUGGUGAGGUAAAGGCUCACCAAGGCGACGAUCCGUAGCAGGUCUGAGAGGAUGAUCUGCCACACUGGAACUGAGACACGGUCCAGACUCCUACGGGAGGCAGCAGUGGGGAAUUUUGGACAAUGGGGGCAACCCUGAUCCAGCCAUGCCGCGUGAGUGAAGAAGGCC